rnacentral:rRNA from 1 species
AUUGAACGCUGGCGGCAGGCUUAACACAUGCAAGUCGAGCGGGGAAGGGUAGCUUGCUACCUAACCUAGCGGCGGACGGGUGAGUAAUGCUUAGGAAUCUGCCAUUUAGUGGGGGACAACAUUCCGAAAGGAAUGCUAAUACCGCAUACGUCCUACGAGAGAGAGCAGGGGAUCUUCGGACCUUGCGCUAAAUGAUGAGCCUAAGUCGGAUUAGCUAGUUGGUGGGGUAAAGGCCUACCAAGGCGACGAUCUGUAGCGGGUCUGAGAGGAUGAUCCGCCACACUGGGACUGAGACACGGCCCAGACUCCUACGGGAGGCAGCAGUGGGGAAUAUUGGACAAUGGGCGGAAGCCUGAUCCAGCCAUGCCGCGUGUGUGAAGAAGGCCUUAUGGUUGUAAAGCACUUUAAGCGAGGAGGAGGCUACUAGUAUUAAUACUACUGGAUAGUGGACGUUACUCGCAGAAUAAGCACCGGCUAACUCUGUGCCAGCCGCCGCGGUAA